AUGGGGCACUGGCUGGUGGAUGGUGGAGGUGGUACAGGGGGCCUAGUGGUAGUAAUGGGGCACUGGCUGGUGGAUGGUGGUUUCACAAAACUGAGGUUUAGGGGUGCCGGCGACCUAGUGGAGGUAGUGGGACAUGGAAUAGGAGGUUGGAGAAGCUUUUCAGCACAAGCUGGGCCACUGAGGAGAGCUGUUUGCAGAGAAGAUUGUAGAUGUGCUGACACUUUCUCCAUGACAGAGGAAAGGAACAUUUGAUCUGGGGAAAUAAAUUAUAAAUAAAACACUUGCACAAAUCAUUGGUUACUUGUAAUUAUUUCACAGUCAUGUGGUUUAUUUACCAUUUUGCAUCCUUUCAGCGAUGUCCUUGGAAACAUGACAAC
rnacentral:lncRNA from 1 species